rnacentral:lncRNA from 1 species
AUGCUGAUUAAAUGAUUAAAGAGUUUGUAUUCAAUUUUAAUUAAGUUUGAAAUUAAGCAUUGAAAUAGUGCUAUUCCAUCAAAAUGGUGGAAUAACAAAUUUCUUAUUAUUCCGGGAUAAUCGGGAAUAGCAAGGUUUGACCGGGAUAAAAUAUCCCGGCCAAAUUUCACUCUGUUUGGCGGAAUAGCGGGGAUAACUUUCGUUAUCCCCGCUUAUUCCCCCAACCAAACGGGGCCAAAAGUAGAAAUUAAACAUUCGCGGCAUAAAAGCCUCUUUAAAAGAAUUUAGAUAUUAGCUCAGUAGAUCGCUUUUUAGUUUAGCCUUUUGAUUUGCAAAUAGUUAUAAUUGCAUAAUAGCUGUAACUGCAGCAGAUCGAAAUAUAAUAUCUGAAUUGAUGCGUUAGAAUUUAACUGCUGCAGUUAGAACUAUAUAAUGAGGCUGUAGUUACUGAACUACAAUAAUUAGAAUUACAUGCAAAUUAGUCGUAAAACCAACUGCAGGCUGCAGCUGUUAGAGAAAGUAAUUUUAAAUAAGAUAUAAAUUUGUCUAAAAAGUACUUUCUUUUACAUUGUGGGUAUUCUCACCAUGUCAUAUAUAAAAUAAUAAAAUUUAUAAACAAAAUUCUCGACUGCAUAAAAUCAAAUAAAAUAUUUAUAACUGAAGGACUAUUUUGCUGCAUCGACCAAAUAAGAUGUAUGUACUUAUAAUUAUUAUAUUUCUAAUUAUAUAUAUCUCCAACUACAGCAUAUUUCCUAAUUAGAUAAGCUCUAAUUAUUAAGUUAAUAGGAUUUUAAACACUUUAAAAAGCUACAAAGGAGUAAAAGGGGUCAUUUAAGCUUUUAGAGUACAACGAUUGUUUCAUAUGAUAUCAGAGAAGGAGGUACUGAGAUCGAGUCACGCCAGGCUCCUAGCAUAUUAAUUUCCUCCCAUUUAAUUCAAGCCCACGUCAUGAGCCGACAAAAAAGGUCUCGAAUAUUUAAACACCGUUCUUUAACAGCUUAACCUUUUAGAGUACAACGGUUGUUUCACAGUUGGAGAAUAUGAAUUAUUUAUUUAUGUUGAUGUAGUCAUUUUUGAGUU